rnacentral:SRP_RNA from 1 species
GGGCAGGCGGGGUGCCUGCAGUCCCAGCUACUGGGGAGGUUUAGGCAGGAGGAUCUCUUGAGCCCAGGAGUUCUGGGCUGUAGUGCGCUAUGCCAAUUGGCUGUCCGCACUGAGUUUGGCAUCAGUAUGGUAACCUCCUGGGAGCGGGGGACCACCAGGUUACCUAAGGAGGGGUGAUUCGGCCCAGAUCGGAAACGGAGCAGGUCAAAACUCCUGUGCUGAUCACAGGGAUCGCGCCUGUGAAUAGCCACUGCACUCCAGCCUGGGUAACAUAGCGAGACCCCGUCUCA